UGGGGAAUAGUGUAGUGUAAGGCAAAUCAAGGUACGGCUAAGGCAUAAUUAGCAUUCGCUUUUAUUUAAGUUGGUCAAGUUUUAUUAGCAAUUAACUAAGUAUAAGUUCAUACCACCCGAAAUUAAACAUGAUCAUAAAUAAAGUAAACAACAUAUGCAUGAAAUGACAUCAAGUUAAAUCCAUCUUCCGAUAAUAUUAUCAUGUGAGGGUCCAGG
rnacentral:lncRNA from 1 species